CUGGGUGAAAGCUCUUCCCGUGGGAUGGUCACGUGUCCUCGGGGAGUGUGUGUUACUCUAGGAGCCUGUCGGAGGGGGAAUAUGGUCCACAGCCGAGCACGCGCGCACGGGGGCCAGUGAGAGCGCGAGAGAGAAAGCAGAGCGACCAGCUCUCCAGCAGGCGCCUUUUUUAUUUUCACGACAGCAGCUGGGAGAAGCGCGCGAGGGGAGCUCCACGCUGCGCUCGCUCAACUUUCGGUGAAACGGCAGCGCGAGCCUCUACGCGCGUCUACGCUGGAGCGAGCGGAGGAUCGUCCGUCCGUGCGCGCGUGUGAGGUGGGAAGAAGAAAGUUUGAGCACCUGGGAGAAAACCUAUGUGGACACAACAAGAACAAACCAAAAUCCUCCCAGACAGAGACCACAGUGAGGUUCAAACCCACAACCAGCAGAGACACUACCUGCUGCAUCACUACCACGCCACCCAGAUUUAACCUUCUGAACAGUAGGUUUAUUAUUAUGUUAUUAAUUAUGUUAUUAAUGCUUAAUACUUAAAUUACUAUGAACAUGUAAAUAUGAGUUUAGCAUAUGUUUUGGAGUCUCACGGGGUUCUAUUUUAGGGUCUAGGAAACUGUAAAAAAAUGUUAAUAAUGGGAGUAAUGAUGUUAUGCUGUACGUAGGGCUGCAACGAUUAGUCGAUAUAAUUGACAUUAUUGUCGAUUAUUUAAAUUUGUCGAAUACAAAUUACACUGUCAACUAAUCAUUAAUUUGUAACAGUACCGCAGUACACAAAGUGCUGGGGAUAGAGUCUCCAAAAGUGCCCAAACACAACAGAUUACAUAUUUAAAUCACUAAAUAUCAGUACUUUCUAUGUUUAAACAACAUCUAGACUGUAAGGGGUCGGCCA
rnacentral:lncRNA from 1 species